UACAGUUUAUGGGUCCAGAUAUUUCUUUCCGAAGUCUCCCGAACCGGCCAGCAUGUUCCGUGUUCAAGUCGUCCACGGCGUCGUCUCCUCGCGCAGACGAGAGCCGAGUAGAGCUGCUGCUCCGCCCCCAACAUCAAGCUCCUUCCUCCGGCCAUUCCCCGCUGGAUUCGAGGCCUUGCUUCAAGAAUGGAGGCCGGGAGUGCCAUCCCCAGGGAGCUCAGUGAGCACGAGCUCACUGUAAUGGAGACCAGGGACCUCGUGCAGCAAUUAGAGUACGCUAAAUGUGCGACACGUGGAACCGGAGGGCAAUGUUGAAGCCGAGCCAGAAGAUGGUGCACGGGUGGACCAAUCCAGAAGACGGAAGGACCGACUGGAGUGCAUGCUUGGACUGGGAUGAUGUCAAACCGGUGCAAGAC